GACGAACGCUGGCGGCGUGCUUAACACAUGCAAGUCGAACGGAAAGGCCCUGCUUUUGUGGGGUGCUCGAGUGGCGAACGGGUGAGUAACACGUGAGUAACCUGCCCUUGACUUUGGGAUAACUUCAGGAAACUGGGGCUAAUACCGGAUAGGAGCUCCUGCUGCAUGGUGGGGGUUGGAAAGUUUCGGCGGUUGGGGAUGGACUCGCGGCUUAUCAGCUUGUUGGUGGGGUAGUGGCUUACCAAGGCUUUGACGGGUAGCCGGCCUGAGAGGGUGACCGGCCACAUUGGGACUGAGAUACGGCCCAGACUCCUACGGGAGGCAGCAGUGGGGAAUAUUGCACAAUGGGCGGAAGCCUGAUGCAGCAACGCCGCGUGCGGGAUGACGGCCUUCGGGUUGUAAACCGCUUUCGCCUGUGACGAAGCGUGAGUGACGGUAAUGGGUAAAGAAGCACCGGCUAACUACGUGCCAGCAGCCGCGGUGAUACGUAGGGUGCGAGCGUUGUCCGGAUUUAUUGGGCGUAAAGGGCUCGUAGGUGGUUGAUCGCGUCGGAAGUGUAAUCUUGGGGCUUAACCCUGAGCGUGCUUUCGAUACGGGUUGACUUGAGGAAGGUAGGGGAGAAUGGAAUUCCUGGUGGAGCGGUGGAAUGCGCAGAUAUCAGGAGGAACACCAGUGGCGAAGGCGGUUCUCUGGGCCUUUCCUGACGCUGAGGAGCGAAAGCGUGGGGAGCGAACAGGCUUAGAUACCCUGGUAGUCCACGCUGUAAACGGUGGGUACUAGGUGUGGGGUCCAUUCCACGGGUUCCGUGCCGUAGCUAACGCUUUAAGUACCCCGCCUGGGGAGUACGGCCGCAAGGCUAAAACUCAAAGGAAUUGACGGGGCCCCGCACAAGCGGCGGAGCAUGCGGAUUAAUUCGAUGCAACGCGUAGAACCUUACCUGGGUUUGACAUGGAUCGGGAGCGCUCAGAGAUGGGUGUGCCUCUUUUGGGGUCGGUUCACAGGUGGUGCAUGGCUGUCGUCAGCUCGUGUCGUGAGAUGUUGGGUUAAGCCCCGCAACGAGCGCAACCCUUGUUCACUGUUGCCAGCACGUUAUGGUGGGGACUCAGUGGAGACCGCCGGGGUCAACUCGGAGGAAGGUGGGGAUGACGUCAAAUCAUCAUGCCCCUUAUGUCCAGGGCUUCACGCAUGCUACAAUGGCUGGUACAGAGAGUGGCGAGCCUGUGAGGGUGAGCGAAUCUCGGAAAGCCGGUCUCAGUUCGGAUUGGGGUCUGCAACUCGACCUCAUGAAGUCGGAGUCGCUAGUAAUCGCAGAUCAGCAACGCUGCGGUGAAUACGUUCCCGGG
rnacentral:rRNA from 1 species